rnacentral:rRNA from 1 species
UACGGAAGGCAGCAGUGGGGAAUAUUGCACAAUGGGCGCAAGCCUGAUGCAGCCAUGCCGCGUGUAUGAAAAAGGCCUUCGGGUUGUAAAGUACUUUCAGUCGUGAGGAAGGUGUUAAGGUUAAUAACCUUAGCAAUUGACGUUAGCGACAGAAGAAGCACCGGCUAACUCCGUGCCAGCAGCCGCGGUAAUACGGAGGGUGCGAGCGUUAAUCGGAAUUACUGGGCGUAAAGGGCACGCAGGCGGUUAAUUAAGUUGGAUGUGAAAUCCCCGGGCUUAACCUGGGAAUGGCAUUUCAAGACUGGUUAGCUAGAGUCUUGUAGAGGGGGUAGAAUUCCAUGUGUAGCGGUGAAAUGCGUAGAGAUGUGGAGGAAUACCGGUGGCGAAGGCGGCCCCUGGACAAAGACUGACGCUCAUGUGCGAAAAGCGUGGGGAGCAAAACAGGGAUUAGAUACC